UGUGGGAGAAAGAAGAAGAGCUGUGAAAAGUUUGCUUCAUUUGUAAUUUUUUCAAGUAAGUUUGUUUAAUUAAUUUUUUAUUUUAUUUAUAUUCUGUUGAUAAUUAGUAAUAUAUGUUAUUAGUUUUUUUUAUGUUAAGUUAGUUUUAGUUAGAAAUAAUAAAUUAAAUUUAAUUUGAUAAUUAUAGUUUUAUAGAGUACAUUUAUUUUUAGAUUUAGUUUUAAAUAAUAUUAGGUUUAGUUUUAGUAUGCUAUUAUUUGUGUUAUAAGAAACAUUAGAUUUAGUUUAUUAUUAGUUUCAUUUGUUAAUAUUAUUAGUUUGAGUUCUUACUUUUAUAUAGUAGAUUAGAAUUAUUUUAAAUUUUUUAUAUGGUAGAUUAGAAAUAGUUUUAGUUUUAGGAAAGAUAAGUUAUUAAUUUUAUAUGAUAGAUUAGAAUUAUUUUAAAUUUUUUAUAUGGUAGAUUAGAAAUAGUUUUAGUUUUAGGAAAUGUAAGUUAUUAAUUUUAUAUGAUAGAUUAGAAAUACUUUAAAUUUUUAUAUGGUAAGUUAGGUUUAUAUAAAAAAAAUUAUAUAGUAGAUUAAGAAUAGUUUGGCGUUUCAUAACUUAUUAAUUUUAGAUUAGGUUUAAUUUAAAUUUUGUAUAUGCUACAUUAUAUUUAGUUUAAAUAUUUGAUAUGAUAAAUUUGGAAUAGUUUUAAUUUUUUUAUGAUAGAUUAGGUUUAGUUAAAAAAAAUUAUAUAAUACAUUAAAAAUAAUUUUAGGUUCCAUAAGUUAUUAAUUUUAGAUUAGAAUUGGUUUAAAUUUUUUUAUAUGGUACAUUACAUUUAGUUUAAAUAUUUAAUAUGAUAAAUUAGAAAUAGUUUUAAUUUUUAUAUGGUAGAUUAGGUUUAAUUAAAAAAAAUUAUAUAAUAGAUUAAAAAUAGUUUUAGGUUCCAUAACUUAUUAAUUUUGGAUUAGGUUUAGUUUAAAUUUUUUAUAUGAUACAUUACAUUUAGUUUAAAUAUUUUAUAUGAAAAAUUAGGUAUUUGAAUUAGAUAACAUUAAAUUUUUUUAUAUUACGUAGGUUGUAGUUAUUAUGAGUUUCAUAUAAUAUGUUAAAAUUAGAAUAGUUUAACGUAUUUGAAAUAAUUAAUUUUGUAUGCUAAAUUAUUUUAGUGGUAAGUAUUUUAAGUUAUUAAUUUUGUAUAUAUAUAUUGUUUUAAUUUUUAGCCACAAAUAUAAAAAUUGUUAUAUAUUAAAAUUUAUAUUUAUAUGUAAUUUAAUUUAUUUGUAGAACAUAUAUGAAAUUUUGUUAUUGGAAUAUUUGAAAUUUGAAAUAUUAAAAAUAUUAUUUGUUAUUUAUUUGAAAUUUUGAGAGUAUGUGUAAAUUUUAUUAUUCAUUUUAUUAUAUUAUAUUUUAUUGUGCAGGAUCAAUGGCAUCUUCGUCGUCAUGCGCAUCAAGUAUACAAACGAGGUCUGGUCCAAUUGAGGGUGACGUUUUGUGGAUGCAACCCAAACAUGUUUCAGAACAUGUUUGGAAUGGGGAAUCAGACAGAAAACUACACAUAAGACGAGCAGU
rnacentral:lncRNA from 1 species